AGCCGAGUGGCGCAGCGGAAGCGUGCUGGGCCCAGAAUUCAGAAGAUGAUGGAUGGAUGGAAACCAUCCUCUGCUA